CCUACGGGUGGCAGCAGUGAGGAAUAUUGGUCAAUGGCCGAGAGGCUGAACCAGCCAAGUCGCGUGAGGGAAGACGGCCCUACGGGUUGUAAACCUCUUUUGUCGGGGAGCAAAGCGAACCACGAGUGGCUCAUUGAGAGUACCCGAAGAACAAGGAUCGGCUAACUCCGUGCCAGCAGCCGCGGUAAUAAGUAGGUGGCAAGCGUUGUCCGGAUUUACUGGGCGUAAAGGGAGCGUAGGCGGACUUUUAAGUGAGAUGUGAAAUACUCGGGCUCAACUUGAGUGCUGCAUUUCAAACUGUAAGUCUAGAGUGCAGGAGAGGAGAAUGGAAUUCCUAGUGUAGCAGUGAAAUGCGUAGAGAUUAGGAAGAACACCAGUGGCGAAGGCGAUUCUCUGGACUGUAACUGACGCUGAGGCUCGAAAGCGUGGGGAGCGAACAGGAUUAGAUACCCCAGUAGUC
rnacentral:rRNA from 1 species